UUCUCAGGAAGUAGACAAAGAGAUGAAUGGUUCUCAGGGGAAAGCUCCAGCACUAAGACACUGUCCUUCCCCACAGAGACCAUUAUGAGAUUUUCAGUAAUGCCUGUGAGUCACUGAGUAAUGGGAGACACCCUUGGGAGCAUAAACCACAAGAAGAUAUCAUCAGGAGGUGACCUCCUUUCUGUUCUCUGAAGGACAGCCUUGGGAGAAAAAGAUGAUGCUGAACUUCCAGGUUGACAGAAAAGGUCUGGAGUAGUAUGGAGUGGCCUCAAAUUAACUGAAGACGACCUUGACUUCACUUGCCUUCACUUCCUGGGAUUACAGACAUGUACCUCCAUGCCCAGUUCAUGAGAGGCUGGGAACCAAAUCCGGGGCUUCAUACAUGCUCACCAGACGUUCUAUCAGCUGAGCUACAAAAUUCUUUACAGUCCAGAGACUCCACAACAUGCAAGAAACCCUGAAAAGACAUGUGUCAUGAAUUCAUCAUAUUGCUAAUUGACCCCCACUGCCUGCUGUGCAAGAGAUUGUCACUGUGCAAGGACAAUCAGGUGACCAACCACCGAGCACAGUGUCUCAACAUGGGUUUGUUACUUCUAUGUUGAGGACUCUCAUUUCAGUCCAUAUGGAUGGGAGAAGGGCUCAUGAGGCUUUUGGGUAAGAACUUGGUGAGGGGGAGUCAUUGUCAUUUGUAUACCUACUGGUGAGGCUCCAAUGAGUAAUUUCACACUCAUGGUCAUGAGAAUAGCCCUAGUUAAACUCUGUGGGUCCCCACACAAAAUGGUAAGACUUGUGGGUAGAAAGGGGACUUGUAGGAAAGAGAGAGGAGUUGAUGGGAUAGGAGAAAGAUUAUAUGUAUAUUUGAUUUCCUAUAACCAUAUAGGAAAGGAAUCGUUGUAAAUAGGACAAUUUCAAUGAAUAAAUAAAUUUAAUUAAUACAAAAUAAACAAAUAAAAUAAUGAGUUCCAAUUAAGCCAUUACAAGGGCUAGAUUGAAAACAAGAAUAAACUUUAAUAAAUAACAGUUAAAAAAAAAACUUACAGCAUUUCUAAAGCUGUUUCCUACUUAAAACUGUUCCCCUGGUUGACAGUACUGGAGGAGAAAAGAAAGGAAGGGAGGGAGGGAGGAAGAGAGGGAAGGAAAGAGCAGAGAAAGGAAGAAGGGGAGAAAGAAGAGAUAGAGGAGGGGGAGGAAGAAGAAAAGAAGAAAGAUCUCAAGUAAAUGCAGGAAAUGCCGGGUGUCAGAUUCGCACGAAGUCUUCUCCCUGCUGCUCUUGCAAACGGACUAUUUUCAUGUUAAGCUUCAGAUACAUCCUCCAAUAAAAAUAAACCUGCUUCAUUUU